GGAGUGAAAAAAAUAUCCCUAUAAAUUAAGCACAACCAGGAGAUAUUGGCAAUAUCGUCACUCAUAUUUUUCUCCCUCUUUUCAUCAUUUACAGCUCUAAUUCAUUUGCUUCAGACGUUGAUAGACAGAUGGCGUCUGUCCAAACUGCUUUGACAUCACUCCUAUGCAAGAAAGGGAACAAUAAUCCACAAGUAAAUGUUCCAAGAAGUUCCUUCUUGCCAGGGUUUGAUUUGACAGGGCAAGUUGCAGUUACGGGGAGAAGGGAAACGCGUUUCAAUUCUUUUUCAAGCCCGAGAGCAACACUUACCUUUGAUCCUCCCAGUACUGAUAAUAAAGAGAAGACAAAGCCAAAGCACACUGUUGAUCCUAAUGCUCCUGAUUUCCUGCCCCUUCCACCAUUCGAACAAUGCUUUCCGAAAAGCUCCAAGGAAUACAGUGAAGUUAUGCAUGAAGAAACUGGUCAUGUACUCAAAGUCCCAUUUCGACGUAUUCAUCUUUCCGGGGAUGAACCACAUUUUGACACUUAUGAUACCAGUGGUCCUCAGGGUGUUAACCCGCGUGUUGGACUUCCCAAGCUGCGCACGGAGUGGAUUAACAGGAGGGAGAAGUUAGGAGGACCAAGGUAUACUCAAAUGUUCUAUGCUAAGCAGGGAAUCAUAACUGAGGAAAUGGUGUACUGUGCUGCUCGUGAAAAGAUGGAUCCGGAAUUUGUGAGGUCAGAAGUUGCUCGGGGCCGUGCAAUCAUCCCUUCAAACAAGAAGCACCCUGAGUUGGAGCCAAUGAUAGUAGGAAGAAAGUUCUUAGUGAAAGUCAAUGCCAACAUCGGGAACUCUGCUGUUGUAAGCUCGAUUGAAGAAGAAGUUCAUAAGCUUCAAUGGGCAACAAUGUGGGGUGCAGAUACGAUCAUGGAUCUCUCCACUGGUCGUCACAUCCACGAGACUCGUGAGUGGAUCUUGCGUAAUUCUGCUGUACCAGUAGGCACUGUGCCAAUUUACCAAGCACUAGAAAAAGUAAACGGGAUUGCUGAGAAUCUUAGCUGGGAAGUGUUUAGAGAGACCUUAAUUGAACAAGCUGAGCAAGGAGUUGAUUACUUCACAAUCCAUGCCGGAGUCCUUCUCAGGUACAUCCCACUGACAGCAAAACGGAUGACCGGAAUUGUUUCUCGUGGAGGCUCAAUUCAUGCAAAGUGGUGCUUAGCUUAUCACAAGGAGAAUUUCGCUUAUGAACAUUGGGAUGACAUACUUGACAUCUGUAAUCAGUACGAUAUAUCGUUAUCAAUUGGUGAUGGACUGAGACCUGGUUCAAUUUAUGAUGCAAAUGACACCGCUCAGUUUGCUGAGCUCUUGACUCAAGGGGAGCUGACUCGCCGAGCUUGGGAAAAGGAUGUACAGGUUAUGAAUGAAGGACCUGGACACGUACCAAUGCAUAAGAUUCCCGAGAACAUGCAGAAACAGCUAGAGUGGUGUAAUGAAGCACCAUUCUACACUCUUGGACCAUUGACAACUGAUAUAGCUCCCGGAUAUGAUCAUAUCACCUCAGCUAUCGGUGCAGCCAAUAUAGGAGCACUCGGGACUGCACUUCUGUGUUACGUCACUCCAAAAGAGCAUCUUGGUCUUCCUAAUCGCGAUGACGUGAAGACAGGUGUAAUAUCAUAUAAGAUAGCUGCUCAUGCAGCUGAUCUUGCAAAAGGUCACCCGCUAUCUCAAGCUUGGGAUGACGCACUUAGCAAGGCAAGAUUUGAGUUCAGAUGGAUGGACCAAUUCGCUUUGUCAUUGGACCCCGUUACUGCAAUGUCCUUUCACGACGAAACUUUACCAGCCGAUGGGGCUAAAGUGGCACAUUUCUGCUCGAUGUGCGGUCCUAAGUUUUGCUCCAUGAAAAUAACCGAAGAUAUAAGGAAGUAUGCUGAAAAUCAUGGUUAUGGAAAUGCAGAGGAAGCCAUUCAGCAGGGCAUGGAUGCUAUGAGUGCAGCGUUUCAAGCUGCAAAAAAAACCAUUAGUGGGGAACAACACGGUGAGGUUGGCGGUGAGAUCUACUUGCCAGAAAAUUACAUCAACUCUUUGAAGAGCCAAACGAAUGUGUAAAGAUCGAAACUGGCUCACAGAUUUCUGAAGUGAUCACAACUCCAUCGGCCAGUCAAGGAGGCGGUAGUAGGAGCCUCAUUAUCAAGUAUUAGCUUCAAAUGCUGACUGAUCAGGCUGAGAAAGUCCCUUUGAACCUGAACGGGAUAAUUCCUGCGUAGGGAGUGUGCAAUUUUUUUUUUCUUGCUUGCACAGGGAUGGCGAUUCUCCGAAAUGGUUGAAAAUUCAAAAUUAAUCUGAUCCUGCUCUUUGCCAGGACCAGUUUAUUCACCGUCUAUUCAAGACACCAUCUUGUAUUGUUUGUUUUUUUGGUGUCCUGACUAAAUACAGAUUCCCGCACUCUGUACAUAACGGAGCUCGAAUUCGACACCUUUGAUUGGUAGUAAAGGGGUAUUUAUCACUCCAUCACGACCCUUGUUGGUAAGGCAUUGUCGUGUAUGCCUCUGAGACGCGAUUGGUUACUUACAAUUGACCAAUUUUCUCAUGGUUACUCUAGCUUUGGUUGGACUAUUGAACAUUCAGUAAUAUGAAUGACUCAAUUGCAUAUAUACCUUCAUAUUUUAAAAUCAAUAUUACGAAUUUAAGAUCUAGAGUCGAUAAGUUUAGGGUAAGUAUGUCGUAUUAUAUGUAUAUAAUUAAUUUUUAUCCAUGUUCAUAUACAUAUCUCGAGCUGAAAACAUUUAUAUACCCCUUAUAUACAUUGAAAGGAAGUAGCAUAUGUAAUUACUAAAGGUGAAUUCAGGAUCUAGAGUCGAUGGUUUCAGGAUUAGUAUACUAAUUAAUCUUGUAGCAAUACAGGGCAGAGUUAGAGAUUAAGGUAUGGAUUUGGUCGAAUUUCGUAAA